GAGGAAAGCUAGCGGCAGGCCUAACACAUGCAAGUCGAGGGAGAAGCCCUUUCGGGGGCAGAAACCGGCGCACGGGUGCGUAACGCGUAUGCAACCUACCUUUCACAGGGGGAUAGCCCGAAGAAAUUUGGAUUAAUACCCCAUAAUAUUAUUGGAUGGCAUCAUUUGAUAAUUAAAACUGCGGUGGUGAAAGAUGGGCAUGCGUCCUAUUAGCUAGUUGGAGUGGUAACGGCACCCCAAGGCUACGAUAGGUAGGGGUCCUGAGAGGGAGAUCCCCCACACUGGUACUGAGACAGGGACCAGACUCCUACGGGAGGCAGCAGUGAGGAAUAUUGGUCAAUGGUCGGAAGACUGAACCAGCCAUGCCGCGUGCAGGAAGAAUGCCUUAUGGGUUGUAAACUGCUUUUAUAUGGGAAGAAUAAGGCGUACGUGUACGUUGAUGACGGUACCAUAUGAAUAAGCAUCGGCUAACUCCGUG
rnacentral:rRNA from 1 species